rnacentral:misc_RNA from 1 species
CGGGGAGUCAUAUACUGCAUGGGUACUGCUAACUUCUGAGUCGACAUCCAUAUCUCCAUUGUUUUCGUCGAACUCUUCACUCUCUUCUUCAGCAGGGACCUCGGCUGCUUCAUCUUGAGUGUGCCGCUUCUUGUUGAUGGUGUGCUUGAUUUUGUUGACCUUGUUCUGGACCCUCGACAUUAUCGACUUUUUCUCAUGAUGCGGCUCUUCGUCCCCAACAACUGUUGUG